rnacentral:tRNA from 1 species
GGAUCCAUAGUGUAGUGGUUAGCAUGUCUACUUUACAUGCAGAAGGUGCUGGGUUCACACCCCAGGUGAAGCCA